ensembl:misc_RNA 7SK 7SK RNA
GGAUGUGAGGGGAUAUCUGGCUGAGACAUUGGUCACCCCAUUGAUCACCAGGGUUGAUUUGGCUGAUCUAGGCAGGUGUUCCCUUCUCCCCUCACUGCUCCAUGUGCGUCCCUCCUAAAGCUGUGUGCUCGGUGGAAGAGGAUCGCCAUCGCCAAAUACAGAUAGACCUGUCUUAGGUCUUUAGUCCAGGGUCUACAAGUAGCUGCACUCCCUUGCUAGAACCUCCAAGCAAGCUCUCAAAAUGCAAAGUUAGAGGUAGUCUUGCAGGCCUUCCUAGGACCUUACCCUCACCAUAAGACAGUGAUGGUAAGACUGGACAG